AGCGAACGCUGGCGGCAGGCCUAACACAUGCAAGUCGAACGGAUCCUUCGGGAUUAGUGGCGGACGGGUGAGUAACAUGUGGGAACGUGCCCUUUGGUUCGGAACAACUCAGGGAAACUUGAGCUAAUACCGGAUGUGCCCUUCGGGGGAAAGAUUUAUCGCCAUUGGAGCGGCCCGCGUCUGAUUAGCUAGUUGGUGAGGUAACGGCCCACCAAGGCGACGAUCAGUAGCUGGUCUGAGAGGAUGAUCAGCCACACUGGGACUGAGACACGGCCCAGACUCCUACGGGAGGCAGCAGUGGGGAAUCUUGCGCAAUGGGCGAAAGCCUGACGCAGCCAUGCCGCGUGAAUGAUGAAGGUCUUAGGAUUGUAAAAUUCUUUCAGCGGGGACGAUAAUGACGGUACCCGCAGAAGAAGCUCCGGCUAACUUCGUG
rnacentral:rRNA from 1 species